GGGAGUCCAAAUCCCGAGAAGGUGCAACCCAGAGCUGGCCUGCCCCCUCAGCAGGAGGGCUGUCUGCUUCAGGGGCAGUUGCAGGACCUCAGGGUGCGGGGGUAGGAGUGGGGGGGGCGGGUCUGGCAGCAGGAUGAAGCUCAGAGCCCCGGGCGGGAGCAGUUAACAGUUAAGGAGAAGGGAGACUCGGCUUGUGGCUCCAUCGAAGCAGGCCCCCCUCUAGGCAGUAGGAAGGCAGCCCCAGCAAGCUGUGAGCCCAGAGCAGGCCCCUCUCCUUCUGGCCCCCUCCCACCUCCCCUCUGCAUCCCCUCCUUCUUUCCCCUCUUCCUCUCAUCUCCCAACCUGCACAGCCUUCCUCAGCUUUGGUUGGAGAACAGGCAGAGACCCACCCUGGCCAGAGGCUGUCAAGGCUGCUUUCGGCAUUUAAAAGAAAGGAGGAUGAAAAACAUUUGCAUUUCUCCCCCUCUCCCGCCUGCCUGCUCGCUCUGUUCCCUCCUGCUCUCGCCCUCGCUCUCCGCUCACCUCGCAGCGAGCUGGGGCUGUGCGUUGGGGAAGGAACGCCACAGAGAGGUUUUUCAAGGUGCUUUGGGCACCAGCCCGGGUGGGGGGCUGCCGCAGCCAGAGGCAAGGGUGACAGCGGGAUUCUGGGGUUGGGGUCCCAAGUCUGGUUGACGGGGGCUCUAAGGGGCAGAGGGAUGUGGGUGGGGAGCCAGGCUUGGCCAAGGCUGCUGGAUAGGGGGUGCUGGGGGCCGUCUGUGGAGCUCUCCUCCAUCACCCCAGACAUGAGCGCGGGUCCCCAAAUUUGCCCCAGCCCCGGAGGACCCCACCAGCUCUUCCUGGCUUCCACAGUGGAAGUCUAGGAUGACUCAGCUGCAUGGGAAGCUGACACCCCCAGGGCAGCCCCCUCCAUGUGCAGAUAGGGAAACUGAGGCCUGGAAACCGAGAAUGACAUGGCCAAGGUCACACCCUGGCAGAACUAGGACAAAGAGGGAGGUUAACGAGGUAUCAAGCAUGUCUCAAUGACAAGUGCCGUGCUGACGUCAAGGACGGGGCGCUCUGGACAGUGCUGGACGCCAGGCCCAGAGCCGGGCACGGAGGACUUUGCAAUCAGAGGGACCAGGGCUCAAACCCUGGCCAUGACGCUUUCCAGCACGGCAACCUUGG
rnacentral:lncRNA from 1 species